GACGAACCGAGCGAACGUUGUUCGGAAUCACUGGGCUUAAAGGGCGCGUAGGCGGGCUGCCAAGUCUGGGGUGAAAUCCGCCGGCUCAACCGGCGAAGGGCCUCAGAUACUGGCGGCCUCGAGGGGGGUAGGGGCGUGCGGAACUGUGGGUGGAGCGGUGAAAUGCGUUGAGAUCCACAGGAACUCCGGUGGCGAAGGCGGCACGCUGGACCCUUUCUGACGCUGAGGCGCGAAAGCCAGGGGAGCGAACGGG
rnacentral:rRNA from 1 species